CUGGCAGGGUUAGUUAAGUGUUGGAUAUUAUUUACUUCAAGCGCUCUUGUCUUGCGUUCCAUAAAGUCGAUUAGCACGGCUCAAAAAAUCUUCACAUUUGGAAAAAGUCUCGAAACUAUCCACGGAUGUGGAGCUUGCAAGAACUCUAAGCUAUUUCUAUUAUAAAUAACUAAUGGUAAUCAAGUAACGCUAAUCAUAACAGACGGCUCCCCCGUUCAGGUAAGGGCCAAUAGAACGGGAAGAAUAAGUAGGUAAAGCGGAACAGUAAAUCUAAUAGACUGGCCAUCAAGGGUCAUGAUGCAAAAGGUAAAAUGAGAAAAGCAAUAGAAAGAAAUAUAGUAGAAGAUUAAAACACACGGUACAUCUGUGUGGCAGAUCCUGAACCCAUGCAUAUCAAGGUGAUGUCUUUUUGCUGAUAAUGUCACUCUCGCAGACGAUAAAAAGGGGAGUGACAGAAAACUAAGGAAGCAUAGAAACACGGACGAAGAAAGGGCAAAUGAUACAUGGCAAAAAUUGAAAAUGACGUCCAUUUUGUAUGCAAAAGCCAGGUCUGGUGAUAAUUUUUUUCGUUUUUUUGAGAGCACUUAUAAAAUGGAAGGAAAGCAAUCGAAGCGAUGGAGAUGGAGAAGAGACAAUUGGAUAUCAGUUCCCCCACGCAAUUAAUAAGUUUAUGAAGCCUGGUAAUCGAUAGAAUAAAAAGAAGUAAACUAAAAAAAUAAAAAUAAAAAUACCUCUAUUUCCUCAAGAAUUCCUCAACCUCAAACCCCACCCUUCUCAACGCCUUCUCUUCAAUCCCCUGUGCCGAAUUGCCUACCUGCCGCACAACUAGAGUUCGAGCCUCCUCUAGCCGUAUUUCGACCGGAUUGCCGCCAAAUUUGUCCAGCUCUUCCUUUUCGCAGUCUCGUAUCAAUACUGUGACAUCAGGGCCAGCGCACCCGCGCCAGAGCGAGGCCAUCCAUUGCCAGUGGUCGGUGGGCGUGUAAGAGUCGUUGAUGGGGAUGGCACAUGCGUGGGUGUCGGCAGUCGUUAGCUGGUAACGUGGUACAAGAGCAAAUCGGAACGUUGAUUCGGAUUCUGCGGGCAUCGAUGCAGUUGCCGGCGCGGACGCGGAUGUGGGUGUAGGCGCUAGCGUAGGUGCAGUCAGGGGGGAAAGGACAUCUGGAGAGCUGAUGCGAAGUUGGGCUGUUUUGGGGAUGAUAGACCGAGGGGAUAUGCUGGUGGCACACCCCUCCGGUGCAGCUGACUGUGUGGGUGACUCUGGUCCCCCUUUGAUAAAAGACACGAUUUCAUUGGAUAUCGUGUGCCAGGCAGAUAUUGUUUUAAGAUAUUGGACGGUUGGAUCACGGGAAUCUUCUGUCGUUUCACUGUCGCAUGGCUGCAGUUUUGCUUCUGAGCUUUCAAAUACUCGGACAAUGUUUUUGCCAUCCUUUGAUAGAGCGGCUUGCAGGUGUUGGAUCAUGUACUUGACAGACUCUCGCCUUUGCCCUUCAACUGCCACCAAAGCUCCUCGUCUGAUAGAGUGUCCCUUGGAGGGGCAUGCCAUUACUGGAGGAGAAAUUCGCGCGAGAACCUUGAUCUUGCUGAGAAACGAUAUGCUCAUCACUUUUGCCUCAACGUUAAAUUGGUUUUGUUGUGAGAGAGACAUUGUCUGAAGUGGUGGAAGGGUCAAACUGGGAUCAAGAGGUAUAUGCUGGGUCGCUCCAUGCCGGUAAGCACGACCAGGCGGAGUAGCCCCUGAUGAAUAAGGAGUUCUGAGGUAAAGACUAUCCGGCCGCGGAAGGGAUGUGCUUCGGGGUGAGUAUGGGUAUUCGGGACUCAAAUCACGGCUAGGAACAUAUAUGCCGCUCCCGUUGAAACGCCGUCGCUUGACAUCAGGUGCCAAAGGCGUAGCCUCUUCACGAAGUUGGUUACGGACUGCUACUCGACGAUCCAUACUCCCUGUUACUUGGAUAGGACUUGGCAGCUUACUGCUAUCCUCAGACCGUCUCACCUGAAAAUCUCGUUGCACAGGCUGAAUUGACUGAAAGGAGGACGAGGUGGAAGUUACCGGACUUGAGCCAGAAGAGGUGAAUGGUGUACUUGGCAUAGACGGAGGAUUCAUGACCCGCCCACCGCAUCUGUUGCAUACAGAAGCACCUGUCGGAUUGUUGCUGAUGCCUGAGCUAGUCGCUGCGCUGUUGCCACCAGUUCUGCCAUAACGGCGAGGCUGGUAUCGAUAAUCAGGGUACUGCUGCUGGUGUCGAGCUUUUUCCUCCUAGUCCACCAUCAAAACCCUAUACUUUGCUUUUCCAUUCUAUUUAUAAUUGGGGGAAAUGUUAACGUUGCAAAAGAAAUACGAAUUUCUCACCUCAGCCAGAUUCUUCCAAUCUUGCUUCGAUUCCAAUGGAAGAGUCCUCCACUUUUCACCUAUGAUCUUUGAUAUUUCGGGAUUUGCAAGGCCAGGAUUUUGGGCAACGACUGAUGCUUGGAAAUGCUGGCGGAAAAGAAUGAAAGCAUUUCUUGGGCGAGGGAUUUUGGGAUCGGGCUGACAGAGACAAAAUUGCAGGCCAGAUGAUUCUUUCGACGAUGUGGACUUUGAAGAACUUGAGGAUGCGGAUCGCUCCUGUCUUUCAGCUUCGGAUGUGAUCAAUAAACAAGUUCUCUUUCUGGCAAUUGGUGAGAUGAGAGGCUGGAUAUCAGCUAAUAUGGGGUUUUCGGGGCUUGGGAUUGUGGUUCUUGAUAGAGAAGCUGCCAGGACUCUGCCAUCUAAACCGACAGAGUGGUGACUAUUGUCUUCAGCCGCAAUCUUGGAGAACCUGUCUGUCAUAAUUCGAUGAUCCACUGGGGUGCUGGUCCUGGUGGGCAAAUCACGGCCGGUGGGAUCAUAAUGCAGAGCGGGAGGUUUUGGGAGAACUCGAUCCCAAGACAUGAAUGGGUGUUCGAGAAAGGGAAAGGAAACGAGAGAAAUGAAAACGAAGAAAGAAAGGAAAGAAAAGGAAAGGAAAGAGUAAAAAGAAAAAGAUAGCGAAGGAAGAAGAAAAGAUAGAUAUCAAGAUAUCGAAGCAGGACAUAGAAGACACGAACGAGUGAGGAAGAAUGGAAACUCCUAACUCGAAUUCUUGCAUUCUGAAUGGACAAAUUGGCUUCUGUAAGAUAUUAAGCUUGAACGUGGCGAAUAGGGUCGCUUCACGGGCGUCAAAAUCCUUUGUUGUUAGAAAAACCCACGUUUGGUUUAUUUUAGUCGCUCUUCUUUGUUUCUGGUUUGCGCAACCCAACAGUUGCAAACAAUCGCGGUCGUGGGCUGGGCUGCAGCCUGUGUUGUUGUAGUGUCCUGUCCACAAAACUUAAACUAUUGUAUUGGUUCCUUUGUCCACGAUGAAAGCGGAAAACUGCACAGGUCCUUUGAGAGGGAAAUUACAAACGGCCAUUGGAUAGACCGCAUUGGCAUGGCGGAGAGUGCGGGACAACAGGAAGCGACAAUAAUAUCAGAAGAGAGUAGUACAAAUAAUGAUAGAAAAUGCGC
rnacentral:sRNA from 2 species